rnacentral:tRNA from 2 species
UUAAGUUUAGUUUAAAUUAAAAUAUCUUGUUUUGAUCUUGAAGAUUUUCUUAAA